CCCGCACAAGCGGUGGAGCAUGUGGUUAAUUCGACGCAACGCGAGAACCUUACCAGGGCUUGACAUCCCCUGACCGCGUAUGAAAGUACGUUUUCACCCUCGGGUGACAGGGAGACAGGUGGUGCAUGGUUGUCGUCAGCUCGUGUCGUGAGAUGUUGGGUUAAGUCCCGCAACGAGCGCAACCCCUACGUUAGUUGCUAACGCGUGAAGGCGAGCACUCUAGACGAACUGCCGUUGACAAAACGGAGGAAGGUGGGGAUGACGUCAAAUCAUCAUGCCCCUUAUGUUCUGGGCUACACACGUGCUACAAUGGCCGGUACAGACGGACGCAAAGCCGCGAGGUGGAGCAAAUCCUAAAAAGCCGGUCUCAGUUCGGAUUGCAGGCUGCAAUUCGCCUGCAUGAAGUCGGAAUCGCUAGUAAUCGCAGGUCAGCAUACUGCGGUGAAUACGUUCCCGGGCCUU
rnacentral:rRNA from 1 species